GUGAACGCUAGCGGUGCGCCUAACACAUGCAAGUCGCGCGAGGAGCAAUCCUAGCGGCGGACGGCUGCGUAACACGUUGGAACCUACCCCAAACUCAGGGAUAACCUGUCGAAAGACGGGCUAAUACCGGAUGGUCUCGUAAGAGUAAAGCUUCGGCGGUUUGGGAGGGGCCUGCGGCCUAUCAGUUAGUUGGUGAGGUAACGGCUCACCAAGACGAUGACGGGUAGCUGAUCUGAGAGGAUGAUCAGCCAGAAUGGAACUGAGACACGGUCCAUACUCCUACGGGAGGCAGCAGUGAGGAAUCUUCCGCAAUGGGCGAAAGCCUGACGGAGCGACACCGCGUGGUGGAUGAAGGCCUUUUAGGUCGUAAACACCUGUUCUGAGGGACGAAAUUUUUGACGGUACCUCAGGAGAAAGCAUCGGCUAACCCUGU
rnacentral:rRNA from 1 species